GACGAACCGUGCGAACGUUAUUCGGAAUCACUGGGCUUAAAGCGCGUGUAGGCGGGCCGCGUACGUCGGAUGCUGAAAGCCCCCGGCUCAACCGGGGAACGGGCACCGAUACGACCGGCCUGGAGGGGGGUAGGGGGCGCCGGAACUCACGGUGGAGCGGUGAAAUGCGUUGAGAUCGUGAGGAACGCCCGUGGCGAAAGCGGGCGCCUGGACCCCGCCUGACGCUGAGACGCGAAAGCCAGGGGAGCGAACGGG
rnacentral:rRNA from 1 species